GAUGAACGCUAGCGGGAGGCCUAACACAUGCAAGCCGAGCGGUAUUUGUCUUUCGGGACAGAGAGAGCGGCAUACGGGUGCGGAACACGUGUGCAACCUGCCUUUAUCUGGGGGAUAGCCUUUCGAAAGGAAGAUUAAUACCCCAUAAUAUAAUGAAUGGCAUCAUUUAUUAUCGAAAACUCCGGUGGAUAGAGAUGGGCACGCGCAAGAUUAGAUAGUUGGUGAGGUAACGGCUCACCAAGUCGAUGAUCUUUAGGGGGCCUGAGAGGGUGAUCCCCCACACUGGUACUGAGACACGGACCAGACUCCUACGGGAGGCAGCAGUGAGGAAUAUUGGACAAUGGGUUAGCGCCUGGUCCAGCCAUCCCGCGUGAAGGACGACGGCCCUAUGGGUUGUAAACUUCUUUUGUACAGGGAUAAACCUACUCUCGUGAGAGUAGCUGAAGGUACUGUACGAAUAAGCACCGGCUAACUCCGUGCCAGCCGCCGCGGUAA
rnacentral:rRNA from 1 species